ACUGACCUUAAAAUCUUUGCAGGUGUGGCUGCUGUGUCACAAGUGAAUCAUUAGGUAGCAAAGAAGAGAGAUGCUAUGUCUACACUCUGUGUUCUUACCUAUGAACCUCUGAAUGAUUAGUAGCCUAACAUU